rnacentral:lncRNA from 1 species
GAGUUUUGAAACUAGCCUGGGCAACAUAAUGAGAACCUAUUUCUACAAAAAAUUUUAAAACUUAGCUGGGCAUGGUGGCAGGUGCCUGUAGUCCCAGCUAAUCAGGAGGAUGUUUGAGCCUAAGAAUUGAAGGCUGCAGUGCCCUAUGAGCACACCACUGCACUCCAGCCCGGGUGGCAGAGAAGACUAUGACUGAAGAAGAAAAAAGAAAAAAUAUAUAGUUACAUUAUAUUCACAUGUAAACAAAAGGGCAUAGAGAAAACAACACAGCUCCUCUGAAAUAAAUGAAACAUGCUAUUCCCUCUUAUUUAACUGGUAUAUAUUUUACUCUAUUGAGUUAGCAUUAGGAGAGGCCAACUGGGAAUCUUACAUUAUGGAAAUAGAAGAAGAUAUUCUCUUCAUAUCAAGGAGUAUGAAGGCAAAAGCUAGCAAAACAAGGUAAUAAUAAGCACUGGCACACGAGACUGGGAAUAGUCCAAAAAAUGUGAGAGAUAAAAUUGUGUGUUUAUUUUACAAAAAUCUUUAAAAUUUUAAAAAGAACUUUAAAUUUCAUUACUGUACUUUAAAAAAUAUCUCAAGAUAUCAAAUUUCUUCAUUUUAAACUAAAAAUAUCAAGUUUUUUGUAUUUCUGUAUUUUUCUUGACAACCAUUAGUUACGUAAGUAUGCUUUUCUUUAAGUCAAAUUCUAUAUUAAUGCAUAUGACAAUCUAUGCCUAUGUCUGGAACCUGACAUGUGUUAUUUAUAUCGGAUUUAUUAUUAUUGUUGUCAUUAUUUUUUUGAGAUGAAGUCUCACCCUGUUGCCCAGGCUGGAGUGCAGUGGCGUGAUCUCGGCUCACUGCAACCUCCGCCUCCCGGGUUCAGGCAAUUCUCCUGCCUCAGCCUUCCAAGCAGCUGGGAUAACAGGCACCCGCCACUACACCUGGCUAAUUUUUUUGUAUUUUCAGUAGAGACAGGGUUUCACCAUGUUGGCCAGGCAAACCCUUGAACUCAGGUGAUCCACCGGCCUUGGCCUCCCAAAGUGCUGGGAUUACAGGUGUGAGCCACUGUGCCGGCCUUAUUUUUUUUUUUUUUUUAAAGAUUUUGAAGACCCCCCCAACCAAGAGGAGAACUUGGAAAACUAAUGUAGAGCUGAUUUAUGCUCUCCUUUUAAGACAUGUGCUUUUAUUGUAAAUUAAUGUGUACCGGUGGUCAGCAAGCAACAAGAAUGGAUAAAGAUAAUAAACCCUUAAUAAAAACCUGCCUGUUAAAGCACAAAACAACAUAAAAACUACUUCAAUCUUGAAUUCUUUCAUUCUAUUUUUGCCAUGAAGAGCUUCAUCAGAAAACCCUUAGAUGUCUUCAAAUUUAGCUCCUUUACACAUACUUCAUUGUUAUUACAGGAUUCAAUGUGCGCCUGCCUGACAAAGAACAGAGGCACAACACGCUGUUAUGCAACACCAUGUCUCCAAGUGCAGCUUGCAGCUCCUUUACUCAGCAAGCACCAAAUGCAUGUUUAAUCAGUGUUACAGCUUACAACCAGGCAAGUGAAGUCACUAUCCUUCCAAUCCUCAAAAGGGCCUGUUUGCUGAUUUAUGCAUAGCUUGAAGACUAUCUUGGAAUUGUCAUCAACAGCUACAGAUGCGGGUGUGUGACAUUACAAAACUUAUGCCAAUAAACAAUUUUUUUCAUUUUUAUAGUAGUAACUGGUAGUAGGGAGAGGAAUAAAAUCACUUUCUGCAUUUGGAACUAAAACAUUUCAAUGGGGAAAAGUAUCUUCAAACAGCUGAAAAGAAAAAGAACAGUGUAAAGGUUCAUCAGACAGAAAAUUCAAAAGAAAUAACCAUAAACAUUAGCAUUUUGGAGGAAAUAUGUGAUUCAGCAUAUAAAAAACCUAAAAAAACUAAAAAAUAGAGCCUAUUUACAGUGUGACUUACUUGCAGAGGCUAGCAAUUUACAUCAAAUAGUUACAGUGAAAUUUACCACAGAUUACUAACAGCGAAGAUACAUCCCUUCAGGAUAUACUGAAAACAUUUGCCAUCUUUGAUAUGAAGCUUGUUCAGCUUUUGUUCACAAGCCCUCCGUGAAGAGAAAAGGUUCAUUCAUCACUAUUGUGGACUAAAGCAACAUAUCUGAUAACACUUUACUCCUGAUGCAAUGUAGGAUGAAGACAUUUUCUGGGAAAACUGGUACUUCUGUCAUCACUACAGCAGAAGAUGUUAAGAAGCAAGAAGAGAAGAAAAAGAAGAAUCUAUCUUGACUAUGUUAGGUAUAGCUGGAACAGUACUUAACCUCUUAGUGAUUGUUUUGGUCUACAUCCAUACCACACUCUGAAGGUCUCGUUCAAGGGACUGCAUUCAGGGCAAAACCUGGCUCUAACAAGAAAGAUUUAGAAACUAUCCUUUAAAAGCACACCUCCAGAAUAUUAAGACAUACAUCCCAGGGUAACUCCCUUGCUCUAAGAGCAAUUACUAUAUGAUGCUUCCAGUUUGAGGAAUAAAAUUAUAACAAAGCAAACAGGUAAAUUUUAACUUUACACAGAGGAAAAAAACAGGACAAAGCAAUGAAUAUGGACACUGAAGAUGGACUACUCCAAAACAUACAAGAUUUAGUAACGUAUACAAGACACAACAGCAAAAAUGCUACAACCAUUUUUCUAAGAGUACAUAUAAAAUACACAUUAAUUAAAAUAAAACUGCAUUUAGGUUUGUGUUUUCCUUAAGCCUCUAGUAAUCUACUGAAUACAGGAAAGGGAAAUUUAGUCAGUAUAGGAAAGAAGACUAUGAAAAUGUUUAGAAAAAUGAAGUUUUAGUUAGCAUUAAUGAACACUGAAUAUUUUAAAAACUGUCUUUGGAAAUUAUAUUUUAGUAACUCCAAAGAAAUGAGCCUUAGCGUGACUUUUGGUAGUUAAGCAGUUGUAAAGAUAAGGCCACAUAGAAAAAUAAAGACUACAUAGAAAAGAAACUUUCUUGUUUCAAUAAAAUAUUGACAUUAUUUCUCUGAUAAAUGUGGGUAAUACAAAAUAAAACUACCAUUGUUAACAUUUUAAUAUAUUCUCUAAGUAAACUGGAGUAACUCUUUCUUUCUUUUUGUUUUUUGAGAUGGAGUCUUGCUCUGUCACUUAGGUUGGAAUGCAGUGGCUCGUUCUUGACUCACUGCAACCUCUGCCUCCCGGCUUCAAGCAAUUCUUGUGCCUCAACCUCCCAAGUAGCUGGGACUACAGGUGCCCGUCCACCACACCCGGCUAAUUUUUGUAUUUUUAGUUUUGCUAUGUUGGCCAGGCCGGGCUCGAACUCCUGACCUCAGGUGAUCCACCCACCUCGGCCUCUCAAAGAGCUGGGAUUACAGGCUUGAGCCACCGAGCCUGGCCUGUAGGACUUUUUUAAAGCAUUUCAUGAUUUACCAUAAAAACAUCUAGUUUGCAAAACAAUUAUAUAGCGGAAAUACAACUGGCAUAAACAAAUCUGGAAACAAACACAGCUCACUCUUAACUGGGAUGUUUCAUAGAAGAAAUGGAGAGUUAUGGCUAAUCUGGUAGGUAGUUAUGUGGAAAUCUGAUUAAGCUUUUCUUAAUAGCUGGACUACAGUGUGAAAGGUGACAAUAUAAGGAUUAGGUACGUGAGCAGCUCAUAGGAGAGAAAGGACUACGCUGGGUAGUCAAGAAUGGUAUCCCUGAAGUGUCUGAGAUGUGAACUAAUACUUUAACUUUACAAAUCUGUACAAAUCAAAGCAAUUCAAAACCCAUCUAAAUUUUAAUUUAAGCAACCUGUCCUCCCCUUAUAAAACUUACCAGUCAUAAUUAUUUAACACAGAGUCAUAUAUUCUAUACCAAAGUCAUUUCCACAUUGGAUGCCCUUGACAAAAAUGAAAACUCUAAAUAAAAGGAAUUAACAUUUGUUGAUAAGCACUUACGUUAUAGAUACUCUGAGUCGCUAUCAACAUGCCUUGCUAGUGACCAUAUAUAGAAAUAAAUACAUUAAACAUAGGCAAGUGUUUUAAUUUUUAUUGGUACUGCUCAGCUAACUGUCACAAAAACUAGAGCCAUAUUAAAAUACUAUUAAAAUAUACUUUGGGCUAAAAAUAAAGUGGCAGGUUACUCUACCUUUUUUUUUUUUUUUUUUUGAGAUAGGGUCUACUCUGACACCCAGGCUGGAGUGUAGUGGUAUGAUCACGGCUCACUGCAGCCUCGCCCUCCUGGGAUCCCACUUCCCGAGUAGUUGGGACUACAGGCGAGUGUUGAUUUUUUGUUCUUUUGUAGAGACAGGGUCUAAGUUGCCCAGGCUGGUGAUCCUCACGCUUCAGCCUCCCAAAGUGCUGGGAUUGCAGAUGUGAGCCACCACACCUGGCCUGCUACUCUAAUUAGUAGAAUAAUCUGAUAGAUUAUUUUAUUUUUAUUUUUUUAUUUUUUUGAGAUGGAGUCUUGCUCUGUCGCCCAGGCUGGAGUGUUGUGGCUCACUGCAACCUCGGCCUCUGGGGUUUCAAGCGAUUCUCCUGCCUCAGCCUCCUGAGUAGCUGGGAUUACAGGCAUGCGCCACCACACCCGGCUAUUUUUGUAUUUUUAGUAGAGACGGGGUUUCACCGUGUUGGUCAGGCUGGGCUCGAUGUCCCGACCUCAUGAUCUGCCCGGGUCGGCCUCCCAAAGUGCUGGGAUUAUAGGCUUGAGCCACUUCACCCGGCCUAUUUUAGUUUUUAAUAGAGAUGAAGUCUCACUGUGUUGCCAAGGCUGAUCUCAAACUCGUGGGCAUAAGCAAUCCUCUCAUCUUGGCCUCCCAAAGGGAUUACAGGCAUGAACCACCACCACAGCUCCCAGACUCUUUAUUAAAACAGUACAAAGAAAUGGCAUAAUUUGACAGUUUCAUAUGAACUAUUACCAUGAAAACUAUAAAUAAGGAUAUACAGUUAAGUAUCAUGUUACGACAGCUCGACAAUUUUUCAUUAUUUGUUUCUCAGGCAGUGUAUAUCAACAAAAUAAAGUAUUUUUAUAAAUAAUAAAAAUUAUGUAUUUUCUAUUGGUAUCAAACCUUAUCUUUUCCUGUAAGAGCACUAAUACAAUUUCUAUGUCCUUUUUAAUUUGGAGAGCCCUGAGACCUAGCAAGAUGGCUAGGUUUCCAACUGCACAUUUACUUUGAUGUAACUACUAAGUAAUUCAAAUUUAAUAAAUAUGGUCAUAUUUAAAUUAAGAUAUUUGUCGUGACAACAGAAUUAACCUUAUUCUCAAACAGUAUACUUAUGAAAUUAAAUACCUACUCUUAAAGAAACAUAUCCAAAGGUAACAUAAAGUAAAAAAAAAAGAGCUUUAAACAUACAAAAUACACUGUGAGAAAAAUCAGAUGGUAUAUCAAAAUGCAGUAAUGGGUUUUGACACAUUAUAGUUUGUUAUAAAACUGUCAAACCAAUAUUAGGGAAAUUAAAAAUUUUAAUCCUAGUAUAUAACAUCAUUUAACUAAGAUAACCAGCCAAUUCAGUAGAUACUUUAUAAUUUUCCCAAUGAAGUCCUGUGCCUGCUCUCUCAUGUCUACCUUACUCUAACACAUCACUUACUCAUUUUUAUUUUUCAUAAUGACAAAAUCCAUUUAUAUCUUGCUUUUCAACUUGAAAAUAAGUGAGUUUAAUAAUCACCACGUUACUAACCAGUUAAACUUGAGCAACUGAAUACAUUUCUCUAGAUUUCAUUUGUUCUUUUCUAAUCUGUGAAUUGUCAGAUUAACCCAGAUAACAGCAAUUUCCCUUGAUAAUCUGAAAGAAUAUUCAUCCCCAUAUAAUAAGACCACUAUUAAAAAGGUAAAGAUUUAUUUCAAUAAGAAUUUGUAGCAUACCCCACUAAGUUAAUGGCAAAUAAUUUAAUGUGUGCUGAGACUUAAUAUGCUCUCUUCUCAAAAAAGGAACAUACUAUUUUCUAAAAUAGGUGAGGGUCUCUAAAGUAACAUUCUGCCUGUUAACAUUAACAUGUGAAUAUUACCAAAUACUUCUUAAAAUGAAACAGGAUCUCCAUCUAGUGGCCAGAGGGGUAACUCCAUACUAUACAAGGGCUAGAGAAAAAAUGAUUGUGGCCUACAAAACGCAACUUUCAGAAUACCAUUUCUUAUGAAAAGUGGAAGUGAAAAUGUUGAGAAAGAAAUUAAAAUGAACAAAUAAUAUAUUUUCCUAUCUAGAACACUAACAGAUGUCUUUAUUUUAGUAAGCAAUAAGAAACAAAUUAUUAAAGCAUCAAACUUACUAUUUUGAGUAACUGGAACCAUAAUGUUAACCUUUGAUAAAUCUGAUUAAUUUAGCCUAAAUAUGAAGAUUUAUGUUUCUGCUGUAAUGCCACCAAACGCUUUUUUUUAAAGUCUCCAUUCAUUUACAGGCUGGGUUGUGGCUCAUGCCUGUCUGUAAUCCCACCACUUUGGGAGGCCGAGGUGAGCGGAUCACUUGAGGUCAGGAGUUCGAGACCGGCCUGGCCAACGUGGUGAAACCCUGUCUUUACUCAAAAUACAAAAAAAAUUAGCAGGGUGGGUGGCGGGUGCCUGCAGUCCCAGCUACUCGGGUGGCUGAGGCAUGAGAACUGCUUGAACCCGAGAGGCGGAGGUUGCUGUGAGCCAAGAUCAUAUCACUGCACUCCAGCCUGGGCGACAGAAUGAGACUCUGUCUCAAAAAUAAAAUAAAAAAAUAAGUCUCCAUUCAUUUACGUAUCUAAAUUUUCCUCUCCACCCAUUUUAAGAUCUACAAAAAGAGGUCAAAAGAGUAGGAAAACUACUGUUAGUCACAAAAAUCUUUUGCUAGAAACAGUAAAUUCAAAAAGAUGAAAUAUCAGGAAUUUAUCUUUUUUUUUUUUUUUUUUUUUUUUUUUUUUUUUUUUUGAGACAGAGUUUCACUCUUGUCACCCAGGCUGGAGUGCAGUGGUGCCAUCUCGGCUCACCGCAACCUCCCCCUCCUGGGUUCAAGCGAUUCUCCUGCCUCAGCCUCCCAAGUAGCUGGGAUUACAGGCAUGUGCCACCACAUCUGGCUAAUUUUGUUUUUUGUUUGUUUUUUUUUUUUAGUAGAGAUAAAAUGAUGUAACUUAUAGUCAGUAGGUUAAACGGUAGCAUGCCUCCUAAAUGAUAUUAAAUAUGGAUUGUUUUCAGGAAAACACAGCUUAAUAUAAGCAUAUAAGUACAUAUAUAAUUAAGUAAACAUAAAUAUAAAUAUAUAAAUAUAUAAUUAGUUAUCAGUUUUGGUUAGAAUAGUAAUAAUUUUUUAAGUGGCUACUAUUUAUUUAUUUGAGACAGGGUUUCCCUCUGUCACCCAUGCUGGAAUGCAGUGGCACGAUCUUGGCUUACUGCAACCUCCACCUCUCAUGCAAGUAAAAAGUUCUUACGCAAUUAUUUAAUGACUAAAUACAAUAUACUUAAUGAUUAAAUCACUAAACAUAAUCAGUGCCUACCUCUGGAGAAUAGGAUCGGUGUCUCAGUUACAGAAUUGUGACAAGUUAGUAAUGGAAAAAAGGUUGUCCUUUCCUCUAAGGAGCUUAUAUGCUCCCUCUAUUCUGGUAAUAAUUUUACAACUAACAAUAUUCUCUUUUUACCUUUGAUGCAAAGAUGUUCAGAACUAAAACUGAAGAUCAAUUUUAUGUGCAAUUAUUGUUGAUCCUUAUGGUCAGCUUAGUAUUAUCAUUUAAUAUGUUCAGGCCAGUUUUUAAACUUCUAUUGAAAUAAAACAGACUUAGCUAACCAGCUACAUAGUAAACUCAUUAAUAUGAGAACUUGAAGGUUUUAUUAAAAUGAGGAGCAGACUCUGGUAUUCAUCUCAAUCUUUAACAGUCAUUAAACAUUAAAGUUUAAAGAUUACAAAGUAUCUAACGUAUACCUGUAGCCAAAAAAUAAGGGCAAAAAGGGUGUGGGACAGUAAUAAGAAACCACAAUUGACAUUUAAAAUUAAUGGCAGACCAAUCUCUGCACUGAAAGGAAGGCAUAAACUAGUGUGUUCCUAUAUUUUCUUGUCUUGCUCACCAAUCAUUUAAAAACAUGUUAUAGAAAGAAAAUGUGCAUUAUUUUACUAAAGUUCUCAGAAAAGGCUAUUAUGUUAGGCCUGCGUUUUUUUAUAUCAUCUGCUAGCAAUAUAAGCAAAUCAUCCCUUGAAUACAAUGUCUCAGGCAAAAUUAUGAGGACUACUCUCACACUUACAAACCAAUCUGUAGAAUAUUCUAUAAAAUAAAUGGUUACAUUCUGUAAAAAUAUCAGUAUUAUGAAAGAUAAAGAUAGGCUAGGAACUCUUCCAGAUUACAGAAGAAAAGGACAUGACAACUAAAUGUAGUAAAAAAUGGUGGAGUGGAUCCUAUCACAUUACCUCAACUCCCACAUUGCCAAAAAUAAUACUAUAUACGCAAAUGAAAAAAUUGGAAAAUAAACUUUAGACUAAUUUUCCAAAAUAGAAAUUUUACUAAGUCUAAGGAAGACUCUGGCUAGAUAAUUUGUUCAGGUUUUUAAAUGCCACUUAAGGCAGGGUGUGUUGGCUCAGGUCUCUAAUUCCAGCACUUUUGGAGGCCAAGGUGGGCAGAUCACAUGGGGCCAGGAUUUGAGACCAGCCUGGCUAACAUGGUGAAACCCCAUCUCUACCAAAAAUACAAAAAUUAGCCGGGCAUGCUGCUGUAUGUCUGUAAUCCCACCUACUCAGGAGGCUGAGGCAGGAGAAUUGCUUGAACCUGAGAGGUGGAGGUUGCAGUAAGCCAAGAUCGUGCCACUGCAUUCCAGCAUGGGUGACAGAGGGAAACCCUGUCUCAAAUAAAUAAAUAGUAGCCACUUAAAAAAUUAUUACUAUUCUAACCAAAACUGAUAACUAAUUAUAUAUUUAUAUAUUUAUAUUUAUGUUUACUUAAUUAUAUAUGUACUUAUAUACUUAUAUUAAGCUGUGUUUUCCUGAAAACAAUCCAUAUUUAAUAUCAUUUAGGAGGCAUGCUACCGUUUAACCUACUGACUAUAAGUUACAUCAUUUUAUCUUAAUAUAAGGUAUUAUCUCAAAAUAAGUAUUUGUUACCACAUCCAAAUAUAUCAAUUAGAAUUAACCACUGGACAAGUUACCAAAUUCAAGAACAUCUAAAGCCUGAUGAAAGAAAUUUCUUUUUUCCAGGAAAAUAAUACAUCAUAAAAGAAAGGUCAAACUUCGAUCUGUCACAUUAAAUUUCUAAAACAGUUCCAAGGUAUAAUAUCUAAGUCUCUGCAAUUCCAUACAUUUACCAAAAAUCAGUUUAACAUACACACCUUCCCAGGAAGUGCACUUACAUGAACAACAAUUACUGUAAAUAUUAUGUAAAUAAUCCUGGAUUUCCUUUUUGACAAUGAACCAUAAAGAUAAAAGCUCAGUGUUAUAAGAGAGUCAAUUUCAGACCAAAACAGAAAUUUAAAAUUUUUGGUAGGUCAUAUCUUCACAGUAUAAGGAUUAAGAAAAUAAUAGUUUAAUAAUAGAGAAGUGAGAUAAAAAGAAACCUAUCGCACCCUAUUCAAUUGUUCUAUAUAAUCUAAAAUUAAAAUGUAUAGUCUCAAACAUUUUAAUAAAAAAAAAUUAUGCAUUUGACAUCUACUUUUUAAAAAAGACCAGUCUGAUGUAUCAAACAGGUCAAUCUAAACAAACAAAAAAAUCAAUCUAAUACUUCCAUGAAGGAGUCUGAGACAGACUGGGAAAUAGCGUAUUUUUAAAGGACAACAAUCUUCCUGAUACUGGGGAAUACGGGCAAUAAUCCCUUGAAAUACUAAUAUUUUUACCAGACAUCCAACUGUGUCACUUAGCUGCUACCAACCACAAAAUAGACUACCAAGAUUCAUUUCCAUUGUUUCCCUUAUCUAUUCUUCCUUAAUAAAUUAAUGAAAUAUACAUGUAAAUUUUCAUAAGAAGAUAAAGACAGAGAUAAGAAUAUGAGUAAAACAGAGUUGAAACAAUAAAUAAUAAAGGUUUUGGCUGAAAGAAAUAGAUGUUAACUGCUUGUUUCUCUUGGAAAUAUCUAUACAUUUCUGAACAUGUAACUUUCUAUUCUUAGGAAAAGAACACAUUUCUUAGAUAAUUCCAUAACCAAGGAAAUAAUAAACUAUAUUAUUCAAUCAAUAAUCAGUUGUAUACUGGCAAAACAAGUAGCUACAGUACUUUUAUUAUUGAAUUUUAAGAAAUUAAUCAUCAUCUUAUCAAGUACCUAUGGACUUGAUUCAUGUAUCUGCCUUUCUUCAAAAAUAACUGUUGUCUGCGAUAGUGUUUGACAAAAAUAUUUAAAAUCCAUAGAAAUUUGACCAUAUUCAGAUCAGAAUGAUGUCAUGAAGUUGUUAGCCUUUGUCCUAUCAUUUUCAGUUACAGAUGAUUAAAAGGAAAAAAAGUUUACUUUCACCUUUCACAGAUAAAGACAAAGGAAUAAUGAAACUUUUAUUAUUCUGUGUUCUAUGGUAAGUGAUGACAAAGUAUCAAAUUAAGGGCACCAAAAACCAACUAAAUAUUUCCAGAAUACUUUUUAGGAAAUAAAUCCAUCAACUAUUUCAACUGAAACUUACUAUUAGACAAUGAUAAAAUAAGCAAACAAAAUUAUUCAUCCACAGACACAUUUACAGGGAUUAUUUACCUGAAUCAUUUCGUAGAUAAGAUGACAUGGCUGGGAUGAGGCAGGACUG